UACGUAGGUGGCGAGCGUUGUCCGGAUUUACUGGGCGUAAAGGGAGCGUAGGCGGACUUUUAAGUGAGAUGUGAAAUACCCGGGCUCAACUUGGGUGCUGCAUUUCAAACUGGAAGUCUAGAGUGCAGGAGAGGAGAAUGGAAUUCCUAGUGUAGCGGUGAAAUGCGUAGAGAUUAGGAAGAACACCAAUGGCGAAGGCAGGUCUCUGGACUGUAACUGACACUGAGGCACGAAAGCGUGGGUAGCGAACAGGAUUAGAUACCCGCGUA
rnacentral:rRNA from 1 species